rnacentral:rRNA from 1 species
GAUGAACGCUGGCGGCGUGCCUAACACAUGCAAGUCGAACGAAGCGCUUUGAAGUUUUCGGACGGAAGAGUGACUGAGUGGCGGACGGGUGAGUAACGCGUGGGUAACCUGCCUCAUACAGGGGGAUAACAGUUAGAAAUGACUGCUAAUACCGCAUAAGCGCACAGCUUCGCAUGAAGCAGUGUGAAAAACUCCGGUGGUAUGAGAUGGACCCGCGUCUGAUUAGCUAGUUGGCGGGGUAACGGCCCACCAAGGCGACGAUCAGUAGCCGACCUGGGAGGGUGACCGGCCACAUUGGGACUGAGACACGGCCCAAACUCCUACGGGAGGCAGCAGUGGGGAAUAUUGCACAAUGGGCGAAAGCCUGAUGCAGCAACGCCGCGUGAGUGAAGAAGUAUUUCGGUAUGUAAAGCUCUAUCAGCAGGGAAGAAAAUGACGGUACCUGACUAAGAAGCCCCGGCUAACUACGUGCCAGCAGCCGCGGUAACAC